rnacentral:rRNA from 1 species
ACAACGGAUCUCUUGGUUCUGGCAUCGAUGAAGAACGCAGCGAAAUGCGAUAAGUAAUGUGAAUUGCAGAAUUCAGUGAAUCAUCGAAUCUUUGAACGCACAUUGCGCCCAUUAGUACUCUAGUGGGCAUGCCUGUUCGAGCGUCAUUACGACCCUUAAGCCUAGCUUAGUAUUGGGAACCUACGUGCGGCAGCUACCCUGUAGCUACCCUGUAGCUCCUUAAAGACAACGGCGGAGACGUGGAGUCCUCUGAGCUUAGUAAACUUUUUCUAGCUUCUGAAGGCGCCGCGGCCCCUGCCGUAAAACCCCCCAACUCUUUAGUGGUUGACCUCGGAUCAGGUAGGAAUACCCGCUGAACUUAAGCAUAUCAAUAAGCGGAGGAAAAGAAACCAACAGGGAUUGCCUUAGUAACGGCGAGUGAAGCGGCAACAGCUCAAAUUUGAAAGCUGGCCUUCGGGUCCGCGUUGUAAUUUGUAGAGGAUGCUUUUGGUUAGGUGCCUUACGAGUUCCCUGGAACGGGACGCCUUAGAGGGUGAGAGCCCCGUACGUUUGGUUACCGAGCCUCUGUAAAGCUCCUUCGACGAGUCGAGUAGUUUGGGAAUGCUGCUCUAAAUGGGAGGUAAAUUUCUUCCAAAGCUAAAUACCGGCCAGAGACCGAUAGCGCACAAGUAGAGUGAUCGAAAGAUGAAAAGCACUUUGAAAAGAGGGUUAAAUAGCACGUGAAAUUGUUGAAAGGGAAGCGUUUAUGACCAGACUUUUUCCUGGCGGAUCAUCCGGUGUUCUCACCGGUGCACUU